rnacentral:ribozyme from 1 species
UCUGCUCCCUUGCCUUCGUCUUCACCAGAUGCAGGUGCUGCCAAGAAGGACGAAGAAGAAAAGGACAAACCCCUGUCCUCCUCGUCUGGUUUUGGCUCGAUCGC